rnacentral:tRNA from 1 species
UGCCGGAUCAUCUAAUGGUAGGAUAGAGGACUCUGAAUCCUCUCAUCUUGGUUCGAAUCCAAGUCCGGCAGCCA